CCUACGGGGGGCAGCAGUGAGGAAUAUUGGGCAAUGGACGAGAGUCUGAACCAGCCAAGUAGCGUGAAGGAUGACUGCCCUAUGGGUUGUAAACUUCUUUUAUAGGGGAAUAAAAUGUGCCACAUGUGGGAUUUUGUAUGUACCAUAUGAAUAAGGAUCGGCUAACUCCGUGCCAGCAGCCGCGGUAAUACGGAGGAUCCGAGCGUUAUCCGGAUUUAUUGGGGUUAAAGGGAGCGUAGGUGGAUUGUUAAGUCAGUUGUGAAAGUUUGCGGCUCAACCGUAAAAUUGCAGUUGAAACUGGCAGUCUUUCGUACAGUAGCGGUGGGCGGACUUC
rnacentral:rRNA from 1 species